rnacentral:rRNA from 1 species
AUGGAAAUACACUCCACCUCUCUGCUUCUUCUAAAUCUGAUUCAUCUGUUUUUGCGGAUCUCGGCUCGUGAAUUCCUCUCGCCAGGCUCCUCUCUCUCCGUAGAGGAUAGCUCUGACGUGCUCCAUUCACCAGAUGGUACUUUCACCUGCGGCUUCAACAACAUUUCUGGGAAUGCCUUCGUUUUCUCUAUUUGGUUCUCCAACACAGCUCAUGAAAAGACUGUCGUCUGGAGUGCAAAUCAUCUCCACCCCGUGUACUCCUGGGGAUCCCAAGUCAUGCUAUAUGCGGAUGGCAGAAUGGUUGUAAAAGAUUACAAUGGCCAGGCCGUGUGGGAAACCAAUGUCAGUUCUUCAUCAAAAGCCGAACAAGUCCAGUUGUUGGACACCGGGAACCUCAUCAUGAAGGGCCAAGGUGAUAUCAUUUUGUGGCAAAGUUUUGAUUCUCCUACUGAUACAUUGCUGCCAAAUCAGAACAUUACUUCUGCUACAAAGUUGGUAUCUGCUAAUAGGUUACUUGUUCCUGGGCGCUACAGCUUCCAUUUUGAUGAUCAACAUUUACUCACACUGUUUUAUGAUCAGACGGAUAUCUCUUUUAUCUAUUGGCCAGAUCCUAAUAAGAAUAUCUGGGAAAAGCAAAGAAGCUCAUUUAAUACCACCACAAUUGGGGUCCUAGAUAGCUCAGGUUAUUUCCUUGGAAGUGACAAUUUAACUUUUAAGGCGACUGACUGGGGUCUCAAGGUUAUGAGGAGGCUAACAUUGAAUUAUGAUGGCAACCUUAGAUUAUACAGUCUAAUAAGUCAGAUGGAAGAUGGUCGGUCACAUGGAUGGCAUAUCCUCGGACCUGCUCUGUACGUGGUCUCUGUGGUAUGA